CCUACGGGUGGCUGCAGUGGGGAAUAUUGGACAAUGGGCGAAAGCCUGAUCCAGCCAUGCCGCGUGUGUGAAGAAGGCCUUCGGGUUGUAAAGCACUUUCAGUGGGGAAGAAAGCCUUGGGGCUAAUACCCUCGAGGAAGGACAUCACCCACAGAAGAAGCACCGGCUAACUCCGUGCCAGCAGCCGCGGUAAUACGGAGGGUGCGAGCGUUAAUCGGAAUUACUGGGCGUAAAGCGCGCGUAGGCGGUCUGAUAAGCCGGUUGUGAAAGCCCCGGGCUCAACCUGGGAACGGCAUCCGGAACUGUCAGGCUAGAGUGCAGGAGAGGAAGGUAGAAUUCCCGGUGUAGCGGUGAAAUGCGUAGAGAUCGGGAGGAAUACCAGUGGCGAAGGCGGCCUUCUGGACUGACACUGACGCUGAGGUGCGAAAGCGUGGGUAGCAAACAGGAUUAGAUACCCGGGUAUC
rnacentral:rRNA from 1 species